GUGGGGGCGGCGGCGAUGGACGCCGUAGAAGAGAGCUGCGCGCUGUGCCUUUCCCCCGCCUCUGAUGCAGAGUUUGAUGCCGUGCUUGGCUGUUUGGAGGACAUUAUCAUGGAUGACGAGUUCCAGAUACUACAGAGAAAUUUCAUGGACAAGUACUACCAGGAAUUUGAAGACACAGAAGAGAGUAAACUCACCUACACACCUAUUUUUAAUGAAUACAUUUCUCUGGUAGAAAAGUGUAUUGAAGAACAGCUGCUAGAGCGCAUUCCCGGAUUUAACACGGCGGCUUUCACAACGACGUUACAGCACCAUAAGGAUGAAGUGGCUGGUGACAUAUUUGACAUGCUGCUCACAUUGACAGAUUUUCUGGCUUUUAAAGAAAUGUUUCUGGACUACAGAGCAGAAAAAGAAGGCCGGGGACUGGACUUAAGCAGUGGUUUAGUGGUGACUUCAUUGUGCAAAUCAUCUUCUAUGCCAACUUCCCAGAACAAUUUACGGCACUAGAUCCUACGUGCAGCCAACGAAUGGGAUCGUUCUGGAUGUCACAGGCCCAAGAGUCCAAAAGGCUCAGCUAAUGACGACAGCAGAAUACAUCUUACUUAGAAAGACUGACUCCAUCCUGCAUUCAUGUUAAGUAUUGAUGGGCCAAAACCAAAAUGACCU